rnacentral:rRNA from 1 species
AACGAACGCUGGCGGCAUGCCUAACACAUGCAAGUCGAACGAGACCUUCGGGUCUAGUGGCGCACGGGUGCGUAACGCGUGGGAACAUGCCCUUAGGUUCGGAAUAACUCCCCGAAAGGGGUGCUAAUACCGGAUAAUGUCUUCGGACCAAAGAUUUAUCGCCUUUGGAUGGGCCCGCGUUGGAUUAGCUAGUUGGUAGGGUAAAAGCCUGCCAAGGCGACGAUCCAUAGCUGGUAUGAGAGGAUGAUCAACCACACUGGGACUGAGACACGGCCCAGACUCCUACGGGAGGCAGCAGUGGAGAAUAUUGGACAAUGGGCGAAAGCCUGAUCCAGCAAUGCCGCGUGAGUGAUGAAGGCCUUAGGGUUGUAAAGCUCUUUUACCCGGGAUGAUAAUGACAGUACCGGGAGAAUAAGCUCCGGCUAACUCCGUG